CUAAGAGGAUGAACCGUAUGAAUACAUUACUGUGAAAGUAUUUCGCCCCACGAUCAGACAUGAAAGUUUCACUGUUUCUCGUCAUUGUCAGCACUGUCAUAGCUGUGAUCUACAGCAAGGGCUGCAUAGAUGAUAGUGUGUGUAUUCAAAGCACUGUGACCUGUGACGAUUCCGCAAGACUUGUCUGCUCUGAUUGGAUUUGCACCUGUAUGGUUGCACCCACAUCUGGUUCCUGUCUUACAAACAUAUGUACCGACCGCAAUGAAUGCGACAGCUGUGAGUGUAGAAGAACUUAUGUA